rnacentral:rRNA from 1 species
AUUGAACGCUGGCGGCAGGCUUAACACAUGCAAGUCGAGCGGGGGAAGGUAGCUUGCUACUGGACCUAGCGGCGGACGGGUGAGUAAUGCUUAGGAAUCUGCCUAUUAGUGGGGGACAACAUCUCGAAAGGGAUGCUAAUACCGCAUACGUCCUACGGGAGAAAGCAGGGGAUCUUCGGACCUUGCGCUAAUAGAUGAGCCUAAGUGGGAUUAGCUAGUUGGUGGGGUAAAGGCCUACCAAGGCGACGAUCUGUAGCGGGUCUGAGAGGAUGAUCCGCCACACUGGGACUGAGACACGGCCCAGACUCCUACGGGAGGCAGCAGUGGGGAAUAUUGGACAAUGGGGGGAACCCUGAUCCAGCCAUGCCGCGUGUGUGAAGGAGGCCUUAUGGUUGUAAAGCACUUUAAGCGAGGAGGAGGCUACUCUAGUUAAUACCUAGGGAUAGUGGACGUUACUCGCAGAAUAAGCACCGGCUAACUCUGUGCCAGCCGCCGCAGUAA